GUUGAACGCUGGCGGCAGGCCUAACACAUGCAAGUCGAGCGGAUGAAGGGUGCUUGCUCCUGGAUUCAGCGGCGGACGGGUGCGUAAUGCCUAGGAAUCUGCCUGGUAGUGGGGGAUAACGUCCGGAAACGGGCGCUAAUACCACAUACGUCCUGCGGGAGCAAGUGGGGGAUCUUCGGACCUCACGCUAUCAGAUGAGCCUAGGUCGGAUUAGCUAGUUGGUGGGGUAAAGUCCUACCAAGGCGACGAUCCGUAACUGGUCUGAGAGGAUGAUCAGUUACACUGGAACUGAGACACGGCCCAGACCACUACGGGAGGGAGCAGUGGGGAAUAUUGGACAAGGGGCGAAAGCCUGAUCCAGACAUGCCGCGUGUGUGAAGAAGGUCUUCGGAUUGUAAAGCUCUUUAAGUUGGGAGGAAGGGUAGUAAGUUAAUACCUUGCUGUUUUGACGGUACCAACAGAAUAAGCACCGGCUAACUUCGUG
rnacentral:rRNA from 1 species